GAGGGCUGGAGAUAAAAACACCGACACUCACUCCUCCCACCGUCCACUACACUGAGCUACUCUGCCGGUGUGUGUGAGUAUCGCUGCUCAACACAGAGAGACGAGGAGUCACGCUUUAUCUCUGCAGAAAAGGACCGAAAAACACGGAGGAACUGAACAAAUAUGACUUCUUUUUAUAGCUAGAUAACCGACGCCCUGCUGACACCGUGAACCCACCGGCUCUCAACCGGCUGCUUCUUUGUUUUCGGUGUAAAAACUUUGUCAGCAUUUCUCGUCACCGACCACCCACCUCUCUUUCUCUCUCUCUCAUACCUUUGACACCGGGUUGUCCCUGUUUGACUGUCUCUGGGAGGAGACAUUUCACCUGGGAGAAGAGAAAGAGAAACUUACAAAGCUACCUGGAAUCAAAGAGCAGCCCUCAGACAGGAUACUUCGCGGUCAGUGGGAUGUUAGAGCUCUGGGAGCGGGACUGACUGAAGGAGCAUGGUGAAACACCAACCCCUCCAGGUCUAUGAGCGCCAGCUGUGUUUGUCAUGUAUCACUGGGAUCUACGGUUGCCGCUGGAAACGCUAUCAACGUUCCCAUGAUGACACCACCAAGUGGGAGCUGCUGUGGUCCCUCAUCCUCCUCUUCACCUUCAGUCUGCUGCUGGUCUGGUUCUACUUCUGGUGGGAGGCACACAAUGACUACAAUGAGUACAACUGGUUCCUCUACAACCGUUCUGGGGAGUGGAGCGAUGGCACCGUUCCCAUCCUGGCCACCACCGCUGCUGGCUUCACCUACAUUGCAUUUUUAAUGGUUUUAGCACUUUGCCACGUUGCACUUGGGCAACAGUUGAAUUUGCACUGGCUCCAUAAGAUAGGAGUGAUUGCUGCUCUGCUCACCACUAUUGUUGGGGUGAUAUCUGUCACUCAAACAUGGGGGCAGGAGUGGGAUGUCAUCCCCAUCUCCCUGCAGGCCACAGGUCCCUUCCUGCACAUAGGGGCUGUUGCUGCGGUCACAGCGCUGUCUUGGAUUGUGGCUGGACAGGUCGCCCGCGCAGAAAGAACAACAUUCCAGGUGGUGGUCGUGCUGCUGUAUCUCAGUGUGUUACUGGGACUCUACGUGGUGCCCCUCUACAUCACCUCCCCCUGCAUCAUGGACCCCUCCAACCUCAAACAACGCCCUGAUGUCAUUGGCCACCAGGGAGCCCCCAUGCUUGCUCCAGAGAACACACUGUGGUCCUUCCAGCGAGCUCUGCAGAUGAACGUCACUGGGUUGGAGGCUGACGUGGCUAUCAGUGAGGACGGAGUGCCUUUCCUGAUGCGCGACCGCACCCUGCGGAGGACGACAGACGUGGAGAAGGUUUUCCCAGACAGACAAAGGGAAGACGCCUCAUUCUUCAACUGGACAGAUCUGCAGCAGCUCAACGCAGGACGCUGGUUCCUCAAGGAUGACCCUUUCUGGACGGUGCGAUCCCUGUCAAAGCGUGAGACGGAUCUGAUUGCCAACCAGAGUGUGUGCAGCCUGGAGCAGCUUCUAAAGCUGGCCUCCUAUCACAACAGCACAGUGGUUUUCCGGCUGAGGAGACCUCCUUCGGAGCACCCCUGCUAUCACAGCUGGAUCAAUGAUACACUGCAGGCUGUGCAGCAAUCUGGGGUUCCUCAGAGCCUGGUGAUGUGGACUCCAGAUGAAGACAGAGCUCAGGUGAGACAGCGGGCUCCCGGUCUGAUCCAGACCUCAGUGAAGAAACUCAGUCCUCAAAGUCUGCAUCAGUCCGGCAUCAGCAGUUUGCUGCUCAGAUACAACGUUGCCAGCACACGGGAAAUCGGAAACUUCUCCCAGAGCAACAUCAACCUCACGCUUUACACCAUCAACGAGCCCUGGCUGUACUCGGUGCUCUGGUGCAGCGGGGUGUCUUCAGUCUCCUCAGAGGCCUCACACAUCCUCAAAAAGGUGCCUUACCCCGUCUGGCUCAUGAGACCAGAUGAAUACUGCCUGAUGUGGGUGUCUGUGGACCUCAUCUCCUUUGCGGUAGUCAUAGGAAUAUUCAUCUUCCAGAACUAUCACAUGAUCAGGUAUCGGAUGAGCGGGAUGCGCAGCUACAACCCUGAACAGAUCAUGCUGAGCGCCGCCGCCGUCAGGAGGUCCAGCAGAGACCUCAACGUCAUGAAGGAGAAACUCAUCUUCUCUGGUCAUCCCCAGUAGCAGCCUGUGUGACGUGCACCUCCUCCUCUCCAUCCAUGCUACCACCUCCUCCUCCUCCUCCGCCAGCCGUGACUUCCUCUUUUAUUCCAUGCAUCCCUCGUUACUCUGCCCUUCUCCCUUUCAUCCAUCCAUCCAUUCAUCCCUUCAUGCACCAAACCUCCCACACUACCCCCCAACUGGAGACAGCGUCAUGUGUAGGGGAGCUUAUAGACGCCCCAGUCUGUCUAGACAGCCUCUAGUGCUGGGGGUCAAAGAGGUGGGGAACGGAGUCGGCAGUGCCGAGGAGCUCUACGAGGACAAUGGCUACGACUACUACACCAAUCAGGCCAUCAGCCAGUGAUUGUUUGGGACUUUGUGAAUCUGCUGUAGCGAGACGGAGACGCCAGACGACGCUCUCAGUGUUUACAUCAUUCCUGUUCCAGUCAGUGUGAUCUCCUCCUCUGUCCUACUGAUGUGUCUGAUGGAGAAAAACAACCACCCAGUUGCUUUGUGUACAUUCUGUAAAUAGUUUUGUGUUUCGCUUGUCAGACAUACUGUAUAUCACACGGGACUACACGCACUUUUUAUUAAUGGAAUUCGCCAAAUCUGUGGCCUCCUCCUCUCACACAUCUAAAUGGCCCCUUCCGAGUCACCUGCUUCUUUUUAAAGAUGCGUCUCCAGAUUAUUUUAAGCUAUUUUUUUCUCCCAAAGCAAGUUCCUUGUUUUUAAACCACUGUACAUGACGUUCUUCUCUUAGCAGAUGAAUUUCUUUUUAACGAGAGGCAGCAUGAGACUAAACGCUAAUUAUGCUCUCGCCUUCCGUCAGCACUCCACUGUGCUGUUGUUCAUAAUAACAUUAAUAUUUAUAUUUAAAGAGAAAAAUUAAAAGAAAAAAAAAAAACAUGAACAAGCUGUUUACAGAAGUCCUGCCUUCUCCUCCAGGUGAAAUAUUCACACGGUGUAUGUAAGAUAAGUAUUUUGAUAGAGGCUGAAUGCCUCUCCAGCCCCCCAGUGCAUGUAAUGACCAUAUCAACUGAUGUAUGUGAGCUGUGCUCCCAGUGCACCAGAACAUCUGGUGAAAAUGGUUUGGGGGGUGAAGAUCAGUGCAGUCUUUUAUGGGUAAUGUGAAUGUGUUUUGUUUUUUUAAAGAUGUGAACGGUGUAUUUUGUGUGAGUGUGUGUGUGUGUGUGUGUGUGUAUAUUCUGGCUGGGUAUAUAUUUUCUACCCUGCGUGCAGUGCUACGUUGAGUGUGUUAUUGUACAUAAAAGGUGAACCAGUGUGUGAGACGCUCCAGCCAACUCAGCAUUACAUUUGAACAACAGUGAUUAAUAAUAAUGACGACAAUAGCAAUAUAAGCCUGGUGGUCAUGAUAGAUUUCAAUUCCUCUGAACUGCGGUUAAAGUCUGAGGUAUUUCAGUGUUGACAUGGAUCCAAACGUUGGUUUGCUGGUGUAAAACGGACUGCUGUAAGGUGAAUGAAGUGGGUGCUAAAUGUGAAAAUAAAGCUCUAAGCUAAGUGAAGGGACGCUACAGGGAUCACAACAGGGUCAAGACAUGGAUUGCCUUUUGUGUUUAUUUUCUUUAUUUGGGUAUUACUGUGCCUCAGAAGUAAACAUUAAAAAAAACCUUCUAAUAUGAGAGCUUUUAGUUGUGUUUUGUUCGGUUUAUUUGUUGUAAUUUUGUGGUCUUAAACAUGCGGACGGGAGGAGCCGGGCAUCGAACCACCAAUUAAGGAACAACCCGCUCUCCCACCUGAGCCGCUCUUUUUUAUUUAUAUAUGUAUAUACUGACUGAAAGUAAUAAAAUGGAUUCAUUCUU